rnacentral:tRNA from 1 species
GGGGUAUGAGCCAACAAGGUUAAGGCAGCAGUUUUCCAAACUGCGGAACCGAGUUCGAUUCUCGGAUACCUCUC